GUCUCUUUAAUCAAUCAAUUCUGAUUUCCUACAUGGUAUCAGAUACAAUUGGAUCCUAACAAAACCUACAAACCCUAGAAUCAUCAUCCACCACCAUUAAUGGUGAGAAAAACCUUGAAUUCAUAUAUCAACAAAACCAACACCAAUACAACCAACUCAUCAACCAAUACAAAUCAACCUUCUACUUCAUUAUCAAUUCAACCCUCAUAUUCGAUGACGAAUCAAUCGAUCUUUCCACCAGUACAACAAUCUCUGCAAUCUCAAUCUUCACCUGUUCUUCCGCAAGCGAAACCUAAUCAACCACCAUCACCACCACCACCGCAGUAUCAACAUCAAAAUUUCUAUAAUUUUUCUCAAUCAAAUUUCAGGGUAAAUCCUUUACCUUUUCCUAAUAUUUCUAAUUUUGUUUGUAAUAAGUUGGAUGGAUCAAAUUUCUUGGUGUGGAAAUAUCAACUCUCCUCUAUUUUGAUCAGUACAAAUUUGUUUGGAUUUGUUGAUGGUUCUAUUCCUACUGAAUCUCCAUUCUUGAUGCACAACAACAUCCCGGUGAAUAAUCCUGUCUUUGCUUAAUGGAGAUCUUUAGAUCAUUUUGUUGGUUCUUGUAUCAAUGCCACGGUUAUCCCUUCUCUUUCUACUGAGUUACUUGGUAAACAUUCUUCCAGAGAAAAAUGGAUUCAUCUUGAUAAGAUUAUCAGUGAGCAAUUAUUUGCAAGAAAAAAUAUGUUGAGAUCUCAGCUACAUUCAAUCCGACGAGGUAAUUCUACAAUUUUUGAGUUUCUACAACAUAUUAAGUCAAUUUCUGAUUCGCUAGCUGAAAUUGGUGAAUCAGUACCAGAUUCGGAUCUUGUUAUGUAUGUUUUAUCUGGUUUAGGUCGUGACUAUUCUCGGUUUGUGAUUACUAUGCAAAAUCGAGAAAUACCUCUUUCCUUCUCAGAACUCCGAUGUAGAUUAGUUACUCAUGAACAAUGGAUUAAAGAUCAAGAUGAUGACUCAAAUAGUUUCUUUGCUAAAGAUCCAAUAACUUCUGCUUUUUAUGUUAAGAAGCAUCACUCCUAUGAUUCUUCUUCAAAGAAGCCUGUUAAUGGUUCAUAUUCUCCCAAGUUCAGUCAAGGAGCUUCAAGUUCUAAUUUUACAUACAAGAAGGGGGAAUUCAAUCCAACAAUCAAUCAAGAACAGGAUUAUAAUUCAAUUCCUUGUCAGAUAUGGAAUCAACUAGGUCAUUUUGCUUCUAGAUAUCGAUAUCGAUAUGCUGCUGUAGGGAUACCUCCUUCUCGGUCUCCAACAAGAAGAUCUUCACCUUGACAAUAUACUCCUUCUGUGCAAAAGGCAUUUGCAGGCAUGUAAGUGUCUUCUUCUUCCAAUCCUUGGCAUCUUACUGAGAAGCAUAAUCUUGCUACUCAAAAUGCUUUCUCCAUUACUGGUGGCCAACGGGGAGUUAGUUCAACUGGUCCUGUCUGGAUACCAGAUUCUGGUGCCACUGGUCAUAUGACCAAUGAUUCUGCAAUUCUCGAAGAUACUGAAGAAUAUGAGGGUGCAGAACAAGUUAUGCUAGGACAUGGUAAGCUUCCUCCAAUUAAUUUAACAUCCUCUAGUAAAAUUCAUACUUCUGGUACUUCCAAUGCAUCAUUUAAUCUGAUAAAUGUGUUAUUUUUUCCUUCCAUCAAAUACAAUCUUUUGUCUAUAGCAAAGUUUACUGCUGACAAUAAUUGUUCAUUUGAAUGUCUACCAUGGGGAUAUAAUAUAAAAUCUCUACAGAAUAAUCAGAUUCUUGCUCAGGGAGUGAUGCAUAAAAACUUAUAUUCAUUGAAUUCUUUUCCUGUUUUACCUGAUUCUCAUCUGGCUGCUUCUGCAUUAAUUCUAGCUACCCAACUACUUAGCAUCACAGGCUUGGUCAUCAUGAUCAAAGAUAAUAAAGAAGUUGGUCACUUCAUCAGCUAUUCAACUAUCCAAUAAUCAGUUUGAGUCAGUCUGUACAUCUUGUCAACUAGGCAAGAGUGUGUGUUUUCCUUUUUCUAGUUCUGAGUCUAUUUCAACAUGUGCUUUAGAUUUAGUGCAUUGUGACAUUUGGGGUGCUUCACCUGUCACUUCUACUCUAGGAUAUAAGUACUACAUUCUCUUUAUGGAUGAUUUUAGUAAGUUCAAUUGGAUAUAUCCUAUGAAGUUGAAAUCAGAUAGUCUUUCUUGUUUUACUUUGUUCAAAAAAUUAAUGGAAAAUUAUUGAAUUCCAAGAUUAAAGAGUUUCAGUGUGAUGGAGCAUUAGAAUUAACAAAAGGAGUGUUCAGAGAAUUUCUUGAUAACAAUGGUAUUUCUAUUAGAAUCUCUUGUCCUCACCUACAUCAGCAGAAUGGAGCUGCUGAAAGGAAGCACGGGCAGAUAACAGAAAUGGGUAACACACUUCUGUUUCAUGCUUCUAUGCCCAAGUAUUUGUGGUUUGAUGCUUUUUUAAGUGCUACAUGUUUGAUCAAUAUAAUUCCUACAAAGCUACUGCAGUAUAAAUGUCCAUUUGAAGUAUUAUUUUCAAAAGCUCCAGAUUAUUCUUUUCUCAAGAUUUUUGGUUGUAUGUGUUUUCCAAACUUGACUCCUUAUAGAAAGGACAAAUUGAGUCCUAAGUCCGCUGUGUGUGUUUUUAUUGGAUAUAGUCCCUUUCAUAAGGGCUACAGAUGCUUUGAUAUUCGGUCUCUCAGAGUAUACACUACAACAAAUGUCAGAUUCAAUGAGCAGGCAUUUCCUUUUGCUUCUCAAAAUAUGUCUACUUUAGACAUCAUUUCUGGUAAUGCUGAUACUUUUUGUUUUCUUCAGCUACAUCUCCUUAGAUAGUGUCUUCACAAGAACAGGUAUUAUCUGAUUCUUCUGCACUUCAUGAUUCAGUUAUUUCUCCAUUAUCAGUUUCUUCUACUUCUGAGCCAAUGCAUACAAAAUCUAAAUCUGGAAUUAGUAAGAGGAAAGGAUUAGAUGAUAAAUGGAUUGCUUGGCUUCAUAGGACUGCUCUUAGACAUCUUAUUCCUAUAGCUUUUACAGCUCUGGUGGAUUCUUUAAUUGAAACUAAAAACUUCAGACAAGCAAUGAAGGAUCCAAGAUAGGUUAGGUCUAUGACAAAUGAACAUGAUGCAUUAGUUAGCAAUGACACUUAUGAAGAAGUUCCUUUUUUGCCUGGUAUGAAUGUUUUGGGAUGUAGAUGGGUCUAUAAGACCAAACUCAAAUCUGAUGGUACACUAGAUAAAUUUAAGUCUAUAUUGGUUGCUCAAGGUUACACUCAGAUUGAUGGAGUGGAUUGUGCUGAGACUUUUAGUCAUGUUGUCAAAUUUGCUACAGCUAGGAUUAUUCUCAGUUUGGCUCUUAGUAAUGGUUGGUUCGUGAGGCAAUUGGAUGUAUCAAAUGCUUUCCUUCAUGGCUAUUUGAAUGAAGAUGUUUACAUGAAACAACCUCCAGGAUUUGUCAAUCAGAUCAUCCAGAUUAUGUGUGCAAAUUAAAAAAAUCUCUCUAUAGUUUAAAACAAGCUCUUAGAAUUUGGUUUGAAAGGUUUAGUAAAUUCAUGCUCAAGAAUGGUUUUCUUCAAUCCAGAAAUGAUAAUUCUAUGUUCUAUUUUGUUGAAGAUGGUUUGAAGAUGGUGCUUCUUGUAUAUGUUGAUGAUAUUAUCUUAGUUGGAGGUUCCAACAAUCAACUUAAUGAUUUCAUUCACAUUCUGAAAGCUGAAUUUUCCAUGAAAGAUUUGGGCACUUUGAGCUACUUUCUUGGAAUUAAAGCUACUUUUACUUCAGAUUCUCAUACUUUGUUUCUCACACAAAAUAAGUAUUCACUGGAGUUGUUGAAAAAAUAUGACAUGCUUGAAUGUAAACCUUGCAAAACACCAGUGGCUCCUGGAAAGAGAGCUUCUUUAUAUGAUGGUACUUUGCUACAAGAUGCUGCUAGUUACAGAUCUUUGGUGGGUGAUCUUCAGUAUCUUACUAUGUCUAGACCUGAUUUAAGUUUUGCAGUCAACUAUAUUUCCCAGUUUAUGCACCAACCUACAGAUGUGCAUCUCCAAUUGGCAAAGAGAAUUUUGAGCAGGCUAUUGUGUGUUUAUGGGACCAAAUUUGGUUGUUUGAUCUUCUAAAAAGCAACCAACCAUCUCCAGAUCAAGUACUGAAGCUGAGUACAAGGCUUUAGCUCUUACUGCCACUGAAGUUCAACGGGUUUCUUAUGUUCUACAAGAAUUGGGUUUUCAUGUUUCUACUCCUUCUAUUCUUUAUUGUGAAAAUUUGGGUGCUGCGAGUCUUGCUGCCAACCUAGUAUUUCACGCCAGAACUAAGCACAUUGAAAUUGACUUUCAUACUAUUCGAGACUUGAUGGCUAUAGGAUUUGUGCAGACUCGUUAUGUUCCUACUCUACAUAAAAUUGCUGAUCCGUUUACUAAAGGCUUACCAAAGGAGCUCUUCUUCAGGCUACAUAGACAAGUAAUGCACUAUGUCAGUGUUUAGCUUUCAUCACAGUAGUACAUCAUUUGAGGGGGACUGUUAGAGACAGUUAGUUUGUUAUGUUAGUGUAACGUGUUCUGUUAUGAUUGGUCACACGUGUACUACAGUGACUGGUCCUUUUCUAUGCUUAGCUGUAUGUUAGGUGUCUGUAUUAGCUAUGUCUUUAUAUACUGUGUCUGUAAUGUCCUUGUCUCUUUAAUCAAUCAACUCUGAUUUCCUACA